GGGGUUGUGGCUCAGUGGUAGAGUGCUCACUCGGCACGUGCAAGGCCCUGGGUUCUAUCCUCAGCACCACA
rnacentral:tRNA from 1 species